UACGAACGGAUCCUUCGGGAUUAGUGGCGGACGGGUGAGUAACACGUGGGAACGUGCCCUUUGGUUCGGAACAACUCAGGGAAACUUGAGCUAAUACCGGAUGUGCCCUUCGGGGGAAAGAUUUAUCGCCAUUGGAGCGGCCCGCGUCUGAUUAGCUAGUUGGUGGGGUAAAGGCCCACCAAGGCGACGAUCAGUAGCUGGUCUGAGAGGAUGAUCAGCCACAUUGGGACUGAGACACGGCCCAA
rnacentral:rRNA from 1 species